UACGGGGGGGGCAAGCGUUGUUCGGAAUUACUGGGCGUAAAGGGUUCGUAGGUGGCCAACUAAGUCAUACGUGAAAUCCCUCAGCUUAACUGGGGAACUGCGUCUGAUACUGGUUGGCUUGAGUGCAGGAGAGGAACGCGGAAUUCCAGGUGUAGCGGUGAAAUGCGCAGAUAUCAGGAGGAACACCGGUGGCGAAGGCGGAUCUCUGGGCCAUUACUGACGCUGAGGAGCGAAAGCGUGGGGAGCGAACAGG
rnacentral:rRNA from 1 species